GAUGAACGCUGGCGGCGUGCCUAAUACAUGCAAGUCGAGCGAACAGACGAGGAGCUUGCUCCUCUGGCGUUAGCGGCGGACGGGUGAGUAACACGUGGAUAACCUACCUAUAAGACUGGGAUAACUUCGGGAAACCGGAGCUAAUACCGGAUAAUAUAUUGAACCGCAUGGUUCAAUAGUGAAAGACGGCUUUGCUGUCGCUUAUAGAUGGAUCCGCGCCGCAUUAGCUAGUUGGUAAGGUAACGGCUUACCAAGGCAACGAUGCGUAGCCGACCUGAGAGCGUGAUCGGCCACCCUGGAACUGAGACACGGUCCAGACUCCUACGGGAGGCAGCAGUAGGGAAUCUUCCGCAAUGGGCGAAAGCCUGACGGAGCAACGCCGCGUGAGUGAUGAAGGUCUUCGGAUCGUAAAACUCUGUUAUUAGGGAAGAACAAAUGUGUAAGUAACUAUGCACGUCUUGACGGUACCUAAUCAGAAAGCCACGGCUAACUACGUG
rnacentral:rRNA from 1 species